UUGAUAGGGUGAUCGGAGCAAAAAUGUUGGAGUGGUGGACAGUGAAUACAUAGUUCAUAAGGGAUUGCCUACACUUGGUUGGUUUGACGAAAAGACGGUAAGUUCCUAAAGAAAGUCCACCUAAGGCUUGAUUUUGAAGAGACCAACAUGACACAUUUCCUUUUAUUUUAACACGAAGACUUGAAUUCUAUUUUAUUAUAUUAUUAUGCUUAAGCAAUCCCCAUUCCCCAUAUACCCUACUACUUUUUUAUAGUGAAAACUAUCCUGCCUUCAAUUUGGAUAUAGGCUUGUGACGCAAAUGAUGAAAUCUCUAUGUUUUGUGUUAUUUUUCUCUCUUUACUAUUCUUUAAAUGGUAUAUGCUAGUCUAUGCACCACAACACUUAGGAUUAGUUGGUUGAUGUAGGAUUUACAAACCAAAUCUCUCAGCUACUCUCUCUCCUCCAUGUCUGUUCAACAUGCCUUAGUCGUGUGUUAUGAAUUCAUGUCAAGGAUGAUGAACUAAAAUGUAAAUUGCUUGCAAUCUUGAGUUA
rnacentral:lncRNA from 1 species